rnacentral:rRNA from 1 species
CAGUCGCCACGGUAAUACGGAGGGGGCUAGCGUUGUUCGGAAUUACUGGGCGUAAAGCGCACGUAGGCGGCUUGGUAAGUUAGAGGUGAAAGCCUGGAGCUCAACUCCAGGAUUGCCUUUAAGACUGCCGAGCUAGCAGGUGAGAGAGGUAAGUGGAAUUCCGAGUGUAGAGGUGAAAUUCGUAGAUAUUCGGAAGAACACCAGUGGCGAAGGCGGCUUACUGGCUCAUACUGGACGCUGAGGUGCGAAAGCGUGGGGAGCAAACAGGAUUAGAUACCCCCGUAGUCCCUGUCUCUUAUAC